GGGGUUGUAGCUUAGAGGUAGAGCACUUGCCUAGCAUGUGUGAGGCACUGAGUUCAAGUCUCAGCACCA
rnacentral:tRNA from 1 species